rnacentral:rRNA from 1 species
UGCCAGCAGCCGCGGUAAGACGGAGGGUGCAAACGUUGUUCGGAAUUAUUGGGCAUAAAGCGCACGUAGGCGGUCCGUUAAGUCAGUUGUGAAAUCCCUCGGCUCAACCGAGGAAUUGCAGUUGAUACUGGCGGACUUGAGGACGGUAGGGGUGAGUGGAACUCCAGGCGGAGCGGUGAAAUGCGUAGAUAUCUGGAGGAACACCGGUGGCGAAAGCGGCUCACUGGACCGUAACUGACGCUGAGGCGCGAAAGCUAGGGUAGCGAACGGGAUUAGAUA